CUAGAUCCAAUAGCUGCAAAACGAACAUAUUAAAAGGUACAAAUUUGAUUAAGCAAAUUCUGAAAGGCGAUAGAAUAAGUCCAGAAUGAUUCAAAAAAUAGUUUGGGCAAAUUUCCAAAAUCUGGAGCAACACGACUAGAUCUAUCUUCGUUACCAUUUUCAAGGACCACAUCGAAAAAAGGUGUUUUCUCAAAACAUAAUCGCAGUGGUCUUACUACAUGGGACACAUUUCGAACUGACAAAGAUGGAGGCGGUUUCGAACGCAAUGUUAAUAACUUUUCAUAUCUUUCAUUGGCUGACAAUUCCAUUUCUUUGCGAAAUACGGAAGGUUUAAUCUAUAAAAAGAACAAGUAACAACGUGUUAAUUAACAUUAUAAUGACUUUCAAAAACGGCAAUUUUUUGUGGGAAGUUGGCGGAUCGGCGUGAUUUUGGCCUAAGCAUA